UUAAUAAAAUUAAAGCAUUUAAGUGGAUGCCUAGGUGAUAUUAAGCGAUGAAGGAGUUUUAAUAUACUUAUUAAUUUAACUCCGAAUGGGCGAACCUAACUUUAAUUUGAAUAGUGAGCUAUUCAAUUUAAGUUUAUUUUUAUUGAAUAUAUAGAUAAAAAUAGCUAACUCGUUGAAGUGAAACAUCUCAGUAAACGAAGGAAUAAAAAGCGAAUGCGAUUUCUUAAGUAGCGGCGAGCGAAAGAGAAUAGAGCCUAAACUAAAACUUUAAGUUUUAGGGUUAUAGGAUUUAUAGUAGUUAAUUUAACUAUAUGAUAACGUAAAUUGAAUAUAAUAAUUAAUUUUUUUGAAUAGAAAGCCUUAGCAGGUAAAAGCCCUGUAAUUGAAUUAUUUAUUUAUUGUUAUUAUAAGUCCUGAGUAAUGCGAAGUAUGUGAGUUUUUGCAUGAAGGUACGCAAACCAUUGCGUAAGGCUAAAUAUUAAAUAUCGACCGAUAGUGAACAAGUACCGUGAGGGAAAGGUGAAAAGUACCCUUGGAAGGGAGUGAAAUAGAACCUGAAACUAAAUGCUGACAAGCGGUCAAAGUUCUUUAUAAAGAAUUAUGGCGUACCUUUUGCAUAAUGGGUCUGGGAGUUAUUAUCUGUAGCAAGCUUAAAAUUUUUAAAAAUUGGAGGCGUAGUGAAAGCGAGCUUGAAAAGAGCGAUUUUAAGUUAUAGGUAAUAGACCCGAAUCGGAGUGAUCUAUCUAUGGUCAGGCUGAAAUUUAAGUAAUUUUAAAUGGAGGGCCGAACCGGUGAACCUUGAAAUGUUCUCGGAUGAACUGUGGAUAGGGGUGAAAGGCUAAUCAAACUCUGUGAUAGCUGGUUCUCUCCGAAAUAUAUUGAGGUAUAGCCUCUAGUGUUUAUAAUCAAAGGUAGAGCUCUGAAAAAAUUAGGGCUUUUUAUUAAGUACCGAAUUUUAUUAAACUUCGAAUAUUGAUUAAUAUAACUAGGGAGUCAGACAAUGGGGGUAAGCUUCAUACGUCGAGAGGGAAACAGCCCAGACUAUAGAAUAAGGUCCCAAAACUACUACUAAGUGUUUUAAAGGAGGUGAUUUUACGAAGACAAUAGGGAUGUUGGCUUAGAAGCAGCAAUCAUUUAAACAGUGCGUAAUAGCUGACCUAUAUAGUAAUUUUGCGCCGAAAAUGAUCGGGACUAAGUAGUAUACCGAAUUUAUAGAUUUUAAAAUAAUUAUUUUAAAAUGGUAGGAGAGUUUUCUAUUUUGGUGUGAAGUAUAAAGGAGACUGAAUAUGGACUAAAUAGAAGUGAGAAUCCAGACAUAAGUAACGAUAAAUAUGGUGUAAAUCCAUAUCGCCGUAAAGAUAAGGUUUCCUAAGCAAGGCUCGUCCUCUUAGGGUUAGUCGAUACUAAGGCGAGGUGUAAUGAGUAGCUGAUGUAUAUUAGGUUAAUAUUCCUAAACUGAAUAAAAAUAUUUGAUUUUUGGAAUAACAAAAGAGUAUGUUUUAAAUUUGGUGUUGAUAUCUAAAUUUUUUUAUAAAAGUACAGGAAAAUCCGUAUUUGAAUAUAUGAAAGGGUAGUUUUUUUAUUACUCAAAACGUUUUCUUUUCAGGAAAAUUUUCAAAAAUAAUUUUUAUUUAAUCGUACCGCAAACCGACACAGGUAUCUGAGAUGAAUAUUCUAAGGCGCGCGAGUUAAAUCUCUUUAAGGAACUCGGCAAAUUUGCUCCGUAUCUUCGGUAUAAGGAGUACCCGUAGGGUUAUAUAAAAAGAUCCAAGCGACUGUUUAGCAAAAACACAGCUCUCUGCUAAAUUGAAAGAUGAUGUAUAGAGAGUGACACGUGACCAAUGCGGAAAGGUUAAAACUAUUUGUUAUUGCAUAUAGUAUAAGCCCCCGUGAAUGUCGGCCGUAACUAUAACGGUCCUAAGGUAGCGAAAUUCCUUGUCGGGUAAAUUCCGACCUGCACGAAUCGUGUAACGACUUGGGUGCUGUCUCAAAGAGAUGCUCGGUGAAAUUGUAGUCGCUGUGAAAAUGCAGCGUUCUCGCAGAAGGACGGAAAGACCCUAUGAACCUUUACUGUAGCUUAAUAUUGAAUUUUAAUUUUUAAUACAUAGAAUAGGUAGGAGACUUUGAUAUUUAAUUUUUGGAUUAAGUGGAGUCAUCAGUGAAAUACUACUUUUUAAUAAUUAAAAUUCUAAUACUUUUCUAUUAUCUAGAAAGUAGACAAUGUUAAGUGGUCAGUUUGACUGGGGCGGUCUCCUCCUAAAAAGUAACGGAGGAUUACAAAGGUAUUCUAAGACCGGACGGUAACCGGUUGAUUGGCAUAUGGGCUUAUGAAUGCUUUAUUGCAAGACUUACAAGUCGAGCAGUUGCGAAAGCAUGUCCAAAUGAUCCGGUAGUUGGGUGUGGAACCGCUAUCGCUUAAAGAAUAAAAGGUACUCUAGGGAUAACAGGCUUAUCACGCCCAAGCGUCCAAAGCGACGGCGUGGUUUGGCACCUCGAUGUCGACUCAUCACAUCCUGGGGCUGAAGAAGGUCCCAAGGGUUCGGUUGUUCACCGAUUAAAGUGGUACGUGAGUUGGGUUCAGAACGUCGUGAGACAGUUCGGUUCUCUAUCCUCUGUGAGCGUUGGAAAUUUGAGGAAACUAUUCUCUAGUACGAGAGGAUCGAGAAUAACGUGCAUAUGGUGUAUCAAUUGUUUUGUCAAAAGCAUCGUUGAGUAGCUAAGCACGGAAAGAAUAAGAGCUGAAAGCAUAUAAGCACUAAGUCUAUUCCAAGAUUAAAUUUCCUUAAUACACAAGUAUUUGUAGAAUCCUGGAAGACUACCAGGUUGAUAGGUUACAGGUGGACGUAUAGUAAUAUACUUAGCUGAGUAAUACUAAUAAUUCAAAUUUUUUAAUAAA
rnacentral:rRNA from 1 species